GGAUGAACGCUAGCUACAGGCUUAACACAUGCAAGUCGAGGGGCAGCAUGGUCUUAGCUUGCUAAGGCCGAUGGCGACCGGCGCACGGGUGAGUAACAUGUAUCCAACCUGCCGUCUACUCUUGGACAGCCUUCUGAAAGGAAGAUUAAUACAAGAUGGCAUCAUGAGUCCGCAUGUUCACAUGAUUAAAGGUAUUCCGGUAGACGAUGGGGAUGCGUUCCAUUAGAUAGUAGGCGGGGUAACGGCCCACCUAGUCUUCGAUGGAUAGGGGUUCUGAGAGGAAGGUCCCCCACAUUGGAACUGAGACACGGUCCAAACUCCUACGGGAGGCAGCAGUGAGGAAUAUUGGUCAAUGGGCGAGAGCCUGAACCAGCCAAGUAGCGUGAAGGAUGACUGCCCUAUGGGUUGUAAACUUCUUUUAUAAAGGAAUAAAGUCGGGUAUGGAUACCCGUUUGCAUGUACUUUAUGAAUAAGGAUCGGCUAACUCCGUGCCAGCAGCCGCGGUAAUACGGAGGAUCCGAGCGUUAUCCGGAUUUAUUGGGUUUAAAGGGAGCGUAGAUGGAUGUUUAAGUCAGUUGUGAAAGUUUGCGGCUCAACCGUAAAAUUGCAGUUGAUACUGGAUAUCUUGAGUGCAGUUGAGGCAGGCGGAAUUCGUGGUGUAGCGGUGAAAUGCUUAGAUAUCACGAAGAACUCCGAUUGCGAAGGCAGCCUGCUAAGCUGCAACUGACAUUGAGGCUCGAAAGUGUGGGUAUCAAACAGGAUUAGAUACCCUGGUAGUCCACACGGUAAACGAUGAAUACUCGCUGUUUGCGAUAUACUGCAAGCGGCCAAGCGAAAGCGUUAAGUAUUCCACCUGGGGAGUACGCCGGCAACGGUGAAACUCAAAGGAAUUGACGGGGGCCCGCACAAGCGGAGGAACAUGUGGUUUAAUUCGAUGAUACGCGAGGAACCUUACCCGGGCUUAAAUUGCAGAUGAAUUACGGUGAAAGCCGUAAGCCGCAAGGCAUCUGUGAAGGUGCUGCAUGGUUGUCGUCAGCUCGUGCCGUGAGGUGUCGGCUUAAGUGCCAUAACGAGCGCAACCCUUGUUGUCAGUUACUAACAGGUCAUGCUGAGGACUCUGACAAGACUGCCAUCGUAAGAUGUGAGGAAGGUGGGGAUGACGUCAAAUCAGCACGGCCCUUACGUCCGGGGCUACACACGUGUUACAAUGGGGGGUACAGAGGGCCGCUACUACGCGAGUGGAUGCCAAUCCCCAAAACCUCUCUCAGUUCGGACUGGAGUCUGCAACCCGACUCCACGAAGCUGGAUUCGCUAGUAAUCGCGCAUCAGCCACGGCGCGGUGAAUACGUUCCCGGGCCUUGUACACACCGCCCGUCAAGCCAUGGGAGCCGGGGGUACCUGAAGUGCGUAACCGCGAGGAGCGCCCUAGGGUAAAACUGGUGACUGGGGC
rnacentral:rRNA from 1 species